CACCCAACAACUAGCCCACCACAUCAAAUACAACAAACCCAUAUUAAUAACCCCAUACAUUCGUACAUUACAUUAAACAAACCAUUUUUCCCCCUCAGUAUAGGCGAUAGAAAAGGAAAUACGGAGCAACAGAGAAAGUACCGCAAGGGAACGCUGAAAGAGAAAUGAAACAACCCAGUAAAGUUAAAAAAAGUAGAGAUUCAAUCUCGUACCUUUUGCAUCAUGAUUUAGCUAGAAAAGUCCAAGCAAAGAGAACUUUAGUUUAACUCCCCGAAACUAAGUGAGCUACUCCAAGACAGCCUAUCAAUAGGGCAAACCCGUCUCUGUGGCAAAAGAGUGGGAAGAGCUUCGAGUAGAGGUGACAGACCUACCGAACUUAGUUAUAGCUGGUUGCCCGGGAAUUGGAUAGAAGUUCAGCCUCUAGGCUUCUUUACUCCUCCCAUUCUAACCCCUUAGAAACCUAAAGAAACCAAGAGAGUUAGUCAAAGGGGGUACAGCCCCUUUGACAUAAGAUACAACUUUACCAGGAGGUAAAAGAUCAUAACUAUUAAGGCGCAAUGUUUUGGUGGGCCUAAAAGCAGCCAUCCCUACAGAAAGCGUUAAAGCUCAAACAUAGCCAUAUCACCUAUAAUUCUGAUAACCCACUCUUAAUCCCCUAACCUUACCGAGCCAUCCCAUGCCCACAUGGGAGUGAUCCUGCUAAUAUGAGUAAUAAGAGAAUCUAUGCUCUCUCCCCGCACACGUGUAAAUCGAAACGGAUCACCCAUCGAAACUUAACGGCCCCAAACAAAGAGGGAACUGAACAACAAAUUAAAGAACAAGCAAACCAUCCAAUAAAUAACCGUUAACCCCACACUGGUGUGCCCCAAAGGAAAGACUAAAAGAAAGAGAAGGAACUCGGCAAACACUACUAAGCCUCGCCUGUUUACCAAAAACAUCGCCUCUUGCAAAAACAACGAAUAAGAGGUCCCGCCUGCCCUGUGACUUAAAGUUUAACGGCCGCGGUAUUUUGACCGUGCGAAGGUAGCGCAAUCACUUGUCUUUUAAAUGGAGACCUGUAUGAAUGGCACAACGAGGGCUUAACUGUCUCCUCUUUCCAGUCAAUGAAAUUAAUCUUCCCGUGCAGAAGCGGGAAUAUAAUCAUAAGACGAGAAGACCCUAUGGAGCUUUAGACACUAAGACGAAUCAUGUUAAGUACCUCUAAAUAAAGAACCAAACCAGAUGAACCUCGCCCUAUAUGUCUUUGGUUGGGGCGACCGCGGGGAAAUACAAAACCCCCACGUGGAAUGGGAACACCCCUCCUACAACUCAGAGCUCCCGCUCUAAUAAACAGAAUUUCUGACCAAUCAGAUCCGGCGAAGCCGAUCAACGGACCGAGUUACCCUAGGGAUAACAGCGCAAUCCCCUUCUAGAGCCCAUAUCGACAAGGGGGUUUACGACCUCGAUGUUGGAUCAGGACAUCCUAAUGGUGCAGCCGCUAUUAAGGGUUCGUUUGUUCAACGAUUAAAGUCCUACGUGAUCUGAGUUCAGACCGGAGUAAUCCAGGUCAGUUUCUAUCUAUGGCUUGAUCUUUUCUAGUACGAAAGGACCGGAAAGAAAAGGUUCAUGCCUAAAGCACACCUCACCCCCACCUGCUGAAAACAACUAAACCAGACAAAAGGGCAUAUUUUUCCUCCGCCUGAGAAAAUGGCUU
rnacentral:rRNA from 1 species